AUCAAUUAGAACCGGCUCGAAAGAACAACUUGCUUUUCUAAUUUAUAUUCUGUAAACAUAAAAUUUUAAUAAAAAAAUUUAAAAAUAUUUUUAUAAUCAACAAAUAUUUUUUGUUAUUUAAUUUACAGUUUAAAUAAAAUAAAUAAAUAUAAACAUGUCUAGUGCCAAUCCCCCCGUAAAAAAGGUACCUCUACACUUACAGAGCGCCCAAAAUCGUGUUUACAUUAAAAAUGGUCAAGUGGUUAACUACGAUCAAACCUUUAAAGCCGAUGUUUAUGUCGAAGAUGGUAUAAUCAAAUAUGUUGGUCCUGCCUCCGAAUUUAAUAUGCCCGGUGGUGCUCGUGUUAUUGAUGCUGCUGGUAAAUACGUUAUUCCCGGUGGUAUUGAUCCCCACACCCACUUCCAAUUCCCCUUCCAAGGUGCUGUCUCUGUAGAUGAUUUCUAUCAUGGUACCAGAGCUGCCGUAUCUGGUGGUACGACCACAGUCAUCGAUUUUGUUGUACCCGACAAGGGUGAAUCUUUGCUGACCGCCUACAAAAGAUGGCGCAAUUGGGCUGAUGGCAAAGUAUGCUGUGAUUUUGGUUUUCAUGUAGCCGUCACCUGGUGGUCUGAUUCUGUAUCCGAAGAAAUGAAAAUAUUGUGUGAUGAAUAUGGUGUUAAUUCUUUCAAAAUGUUCAUGGCCUAUAAGGGUCUUUAUCAGUUGAACGAUUCGGAUAUGUUGGAUGCUUUGGAACGUAUACGUGCCUUGAAGGCUGUAGCUCAAGUUCAUGCUGAAAAUGGUGAUAUUAUUGCUAAGAAUGUGGGUAGACUUUUGAAGGCUGGUGUCACUGGUCCCGAGGGUCAUGAAUUGUCCAGAAUGGAAGAGGUUGAAGCUGAGGCCGUUCAUCGUGUUUGUAUUUUAGCUCAUCAGGUCGAUUGUCCCCUGUAUGUGGUGCAUGUUAUGAGCAAAUCUGCUGGUAUUGAACUUGCCAGAGCUCGUCAACGUUACAACAAUCGUGGUAUUUAUGGUGAAACCUUGGCUGCUGCUUUGGGUACCAAUGGCACACAUUGCCAACAUGUUUGCUUCCACCAUGCUGCCGCUCACAUUUUGAGUCCUCCCUUGAGAUCUGAUCCCGAAACUCCACAAUUUAUGCUGCGUUUAUUGGCCAAUGACAAUCUCCAAACCACCGGCAGUGACAACUGCACCUUCAAUAAGGAACACAAAGAAUUGGGUAAGGACAACUUUGCCAAUAUUCCCAAUGGUGUCAACGGUGUUGAAGAUCGUAUGUCUGUGAUCUGGCAAAAUGGUGUUCACACUGGUAUUUUAGAUCCCUGUCGUUUUGUUGCCGUUACCAGUACAAAUGCUGCCAAGAUCUUUAAUAUUUUCCCCCAAAAGGGUUAUAUUGGUGUUGGCUCUGAUGCCGAUAUUGUCAUUUGGAAUCCUAAUGCAACUCGCAAAAUUUCCAAGGAUACCCAUCAUCACAAUUGUGAUUUCAACAUCUUCGAGGGUAUGGUAUGUCAUGGUGUACCUGAAAUUGUUAUGGUUCGUGGUCGUGUCUGCGUUGAGGAUGGUAAAGUUAGUGUUGUUGAAGGUUAUGGUCGUUUCUUGGAGACACCCGUACGUCCUCCUUACAUUUAUGAUGUUAUGGAUGGUGUAGGUGAACCCAAAGAAAAGGUUCUUCAAAAGAAUGCCCAUUUAGCUGGUAUGGAGCAGGAAAUUAAAGAGCAAGUUCCCAUCUAUAGAUCUUUGGCUUGUGAAACUCCCUCCGUUGCUGCUUAUGGCUGUGAUCAUAUUAAAGGCUCUUGCAAAAAGCAAGAAGAACCAACUAAAAAUUGUCCCCGCACCUCGAUUAAGGUGCAAAAUCCCCCCGGUGGAAAAUCAUCUGGCUUAUGGUAGACUUACUUCUCAUCCGUAAUCUCACCAUUUUUAUUCCAUAUUUUUAAUGGAAUUUGUAAAGUUUUUUGUUUGGCAUUUUCACGUUCAUAAUUGUUUUACUCACACUAUUACUUAAGUUUUAUUACGUAAUUAUUAUUUGAGAAUAUAAUUGUUACUUA